GACGUAGGGCGCGAGCGUUGUCCGGAAUUAUUGGGCGUAAAGAGCUCGUAGGCGGUUUGUCGCGUCUGCUGUGAAAAACUCGGGGCUUAACUCCGGGCCUGCAGUGGGUACGGGCAGACUAGAGUGCGGUAGGGGAGACUGGAAUUCCUGGUGUAGCGGUGAAAUGCGCAGGAUAAUCAGGAGGAACACCGGUGGCGAAGGCGGGAUCUCUGGGCCGAUGACUGACGCUGGAGGAGCGAAAGCGUGGGGAGCGAACAGGA
rnacentral:rRNA from 1 species